CCCAAGCCACCAAUGAAGAUUGCACUGAGAUAAACGAGUGCUGAAUGGAAAUAAACCAGGAAUCUGUUGUCUUACUAGCCGAUCCUGGAGCAGGAACUAUGCAUGGGACGCAGAAGCUAAGAGGUGCUUCUUUGCUUGAGUAUUUCACUCCAGAGCAAAUUAGAACUCACAUCAACUCUCCAAGGCAGUUUGUGGGUCCGACUAAAUCGAAGGCAGAACAACGUCAAGCAAUGCAGAAUUCUUCAAAUCAAAGUCGUUGCCAGUUGUGCUGUAUGGAGAACCUUUCUUUUGCACUUGCGGUAUAUUGUAAUUUAUGUGGUCUCCAUGUCAAGAGAGAUGCUAUAUAUUAUAUCACAAGCAAUGGGGGCAAACAAUCUUAUAUUUGUCCUAGAUGCUUCCGUGGAGCACGCGGUGAGAGCAUUGAAGUUGAAGGAUUUCAGGUUUUCAAGUCUAAUUUUGUUGAGAAAAAGAACAUUGAUGAACUUAACGAAGAGUGGGUUCAAUGCAGUGGAUGUGGAUCUUGGAACCAUCAGAUAUGUGCGCUAUUCAAUAAUAGAAGUUAUUCUGGGCAGACUGAAUAUGUUUGUCCCUAUUGUUUUUUACAAGAGGUUGAGGGAGGAAAACGAAACCCUCUACCUCAAAGUGACCUUCACAGUGCUAAAGAUUUGCCAAUGACAAUCCUUAGUGAUCAGUUGGAGCAAAGGCUACUUAGGCGGCUAAAUUGGGAGAGAGAAGAAAGGGCAAAAGUAUCAGGGAAGAAUUUUGAUGAGGUGCCAGGGGCCAAAGAUCUUGUCAUUAGAGUUUUCUUAUCUGUUGACAAGAAAUUGCUAGUGAGCCAACGUUUUCUGGAGAUUGUUAAAGAUGAAAGUUACUCUUCAGAGUUUCCAUACAAGUCAAAGGUCAUAUUGCUGUUUCAAAAAAUUGAAGGCGUAGACGUUGUCUUUUUUGCAUGUACGUCCAAGAAUAUGGUUCGGAAUGUCCAUAUCCAAACAAUUGUCGUGUCUGUCUUUCAUAUAUUGAUUCUGUCAAGUACUUCCAGCCUGCGAUUAAGUCUAUUACUGGGGAGGCUCUUCGUACUUUUGUAUAUCGAGAAAUUUUGCUUGGAGAUUCCAUUCGUAAGAAGAGGGAGGAUUUUAUUGUGGUUCACAUGCAGCAUGCAUGAAAGUACUGUGGUGAAUUUGAAAUAUCCGGCAAGCUCCGGGUUUGCAUGUUGUGUGAAAUUUUUUAUCUUCGUGAGAAUUGUUAUGAGGCCGAACAAAAUGUUGAUUGCAAGAAUCAAAUUCCCUGUAACAGAAGGGGAAAGCAUUCCUUUUCUCCUGUCGAGAUGAAUGAUCCUUCGUCAAGCACCGAGGACAAGGAUGGUAUUUUACAAAGUGAAAUAUUUUAUACACCACAAGGCUUCUUAGGCUUCUCUGUAGAUAAUCAUUUACAAUUUGAUACCUUACGCCGUGCAAAGCAUUCCUCUUUUGUGAUCAUUGAUACUCUACAUGACAAUUUCCGCAAGAGCUUACAUUGUCAGCCACUGAAGGGUCAAAGCGGAAAAUAACAAGCUUGAAGGAUCGAAAGUCGAAUUCCAUUAGGAGAUUGGUGUAAAAGAAGAAGAACCGGCCUUUCAUUGCCUUAGGAGUUGCAGAGGCAGGAGGAAAGAAACAGAACCAAAAGAGGUUGCUGAGUCAUUCAAUAUUUGCUCUGAUCUUCCCUUUAAGAUGCUGUGUAUAAUAAUUAAUUUGCAAUACACUCUUUUUCUCCCUCUAUCUAUCUAUCUAUUUGUUUGUCUAUCAAUCCAUCCAUCUGUUCAUUUUCAUCUAUUUAUUUGUUUCUUCAUGUAUUAGC